rnacentral:rRNA from 1 species
CUAGCCGUAAACGAUGGAUACUAGGUGUUAGUGGUAUCGACCCCACUAGUGCCGUAGCUAACGCAUUAAGUAUCCCGCCUGGGGAGUACGGCCGCAAGGUUGAAACUCAAAGGAAUUGACGGGGGCCCGCACAAGCGGUGGAGCAUGUGGUUUAAUUCGUCAUUAACCGAAGAACCUUACCAGGGUUUGACAUCUGUGGAAUCCGGAUGAAAGUCUGGAGUGCCUCGUAAGAGGAGCCGCAAGACAGGUGU